UUAAGUUCAGCGGGUAUCCCUACCUGAUCCGAGGUCAAAAGUAAAAUGUUGAGGCCUCAUGGACGCCAACAUAAGGAAUAAGAGCGAUAACAUUGUGCUGCGCUCCAAGACCAACAUGCCGGCUGCCAAUACUUUUAAGGCGAGUCCUUUUGCAGGACAAACACCCAACACCAAGCAGAGCUUGAGGGUACAAAUGACGC
rnacentral:misc_RNA from 1 species